rnacentral:rRNA from 1 species
CUUAACUGUAAGCUGUUACUGGUUUUUCGUUUUCAAUGCUCAGCGUAAGUGGGAGACUUUGAAGCGGCCCUUUAGGGGGUUGCAGAGUCGUCAAUGAGACACCACCCUUUGGUAAUGGAGAAUCUAACCUCGAGCCCUACAUCGGGCCGAGGGACAAUGCCAGCCGGUCAGUUUUACUGGGGCGGUAUCCUCCCAAAAAGUAACGGAGGAGCGCGAUGGUGGGCUCAGCGUGGUUGGUAAUCACGUGUCGAGUGUAUAGGCACAAGCCCGCCUAACUGUGAGACGGACAUGUCGAGCAGAUACGAAAGUAGGCCUAAGUGAUCCGGUAGUCGAAAGUGGAAUUGCUAUCGCUCAACGGAUAAAAGGUA